GUUAAAGUUGUAGGUUAUGUAAGACGGUAGAGUUCGAGUUGCAAAUAGGUAUAUAAAGUAAUAACAUAAAUCUUUGGUAAUAAUUCCACAUUUUGGAUUUUAAAAUUACUACUUCGAAAGGAGUAAUUGUUACUAGUAACUAUAUCUUUUCGUUAUCACGCACAUAAAUCUUAGUCUACAGGAAAGCCAAAUACAAAAUAAAUCAGAAUUCGUAUCAACAAGAAAUAUUUGUUUUCAGUUUUUAUACAUUACUCGCCCCGGAUUCGCAUUGGUUUAAGCGCCACCAGGUUGUGUUUCUGCUGUAGCCAAUGCCAUCAACGAUCAGCUCUUUUUUUAUCUGCCGUCGGCAUGGAGAUCUCUCUGAUUGAGGAACAUCGCAUUAACAUCAAGUUUCUUGCAAAGGUAGGCAAGAACGGCCAUGAGAUUUUCGAGUAGUUGAAACAAGUUUACGCAGACAAUUGUUUGAAGGAAUCAACCGUGAACAAGUGAUUAGAAAGGUUCCGAGAAGGAGUAAAAGGGACCUAUCGCCCUGGAUGCUAUCGACAUCGAGUUCUGAUGGAAAACAAAUUUGGUCUUGUGUUCUUAAAACAAUCAUUCACGAAAUUUUGACACAAAAAAAUGUGGAAAUCUUACCGAAGGUUUUGACUCCAGAACAGAAAGCGAAGAGGGUUGGAUACUGUGAGAAUCAGAUGAAAGAGGGGAUUCUCUUAUCCGAGUCAUCACUCAAAUUGAGGAACGGAAGCUAGCAGGAAAACGGAGAGCAAAAAAGUUACAAAUGUCGAUUAGUUCCUUCGAUUCUAGGGGCAUUGUUCGCAAGGAAUUUGUACCUGUCAACCAAGAGUGAACGGAAAUUUUUACGUUGAAGUAUUGAGAGGUCUUAGAUCUUGUGUGGGACGGGUUCAACCGGAUUUGGCACAAAGGAGUAGGUAGAUCCUUCAUCACGUGAGUUUUUUACUCGAAGCUAAAUCACCGAAAAAGGCCAUCCACCUUAUUCACCCGAUUUUGCCACUUGUGACUUCUCCUUGUUCUAGAAUUGCAAAAUGGUUCUUCGGGGUCGGCACUUGGGAGAUGUGGAAGCCAUUAAGCUGAAAUGAAAUGGCAACUGAACAGCAUUUCAACUGAAGGCUUGUUAUCAACGGUGAAUACUCUCAAGGACAGUGAAAAUAAGAAUUAUUAUUCAACUUUCCGGACAAACCUCGUAAUCAAACUUUGAAAUUGAAAGGACCAGAAUGCCAUAAAAAUUGUAUAAAAGUAACGAGAAUUCGGGUCGUGACGAUGAAUAUAAAUUACAGAAAUGGUA